GGGCUUGACAUCCCGCGAACCUGCCUGAAAGGGCAGGGUGCCCGCAAGGGAGCGCGGAGACAGGUGGUGCAUGGCUGUCGUCAGCUCGUGUCGUGAGAUGUUGGGUUAAGUCCCGCAACGAGCGCAACCCUCACCCCUAGUUGCCACCGGGUAAAGCCGAGCACUCGAGGGGAACUGCCAGCGUCAAGCGGGAGGAAGGCGGGGAUGACGUCAAGUCAUCAUGCCCCUUACGCCCUGGGCUACACACGUGCUACAAUGGCCAGUACAAAGGGAUGCGAGACCGCAAGGUGGAGCUAAUCCCAGAAAGCUGGUCUAAGUUCGGAUUGCAGUCUGCAACUCGACUGCAUGAAGUAGGAAUCGCUAGUAAUCGCGCAUCAGCACGGCGCGGUGAAUACGUUCCCGGGCCUUGUACACACCGCCCGUCACACCACGAAAGCUGUCUGUACUCGAAGUCGCUGAGC
rnacentral:rRNA from 1 species